GCCCACCUGGGCUGUCCUAAGCCAAGCUAGAGCCAACCAUUGGAUUUGUGAGACACAGGAAGUGAGGUAGGGAACAGCCUCUGGAAUUCGCUCACUUCCUGUGGAGAGAGCUAGAGGGAGGUUGGUGUGAGGAGCUUGGAGAGGGAGGACGCCUGCAGACAGCUUUCCUUCAGAUCGGUCACCUGCUUAGGUUUCCACAACUAACCCAGGGACGACUACCCAAGAGUUAGAUUUGGCUCAUUCAUUCACACCCUUUCCUGUGUCUGGCAUUUUGAGUGGCACCGAAAUUCAAAACGAUCAACAGCAUAGACCCUGGGAAUCCUCCUCCUGGACCUGGACCUGGAUCAAAAGGUACGCCCCCCCCCCCCCCACAAGCCAG
rnacentral:lncRNA from 1 species